rnacentral:tmRNA from 1 species
GCGACUAAGCCUGUAGAGGUCUCUGGACGAAUGUUUCGGACGCGGGUUCAACUCCCGCCAUCUCCACCU